CUUGUUUAUCUUUUGUUUUAUAUCGUCUGGCACAUUUUUGUUUUCAUGUCAACUUUUUUAUUUGGUUCUAAACUGCAACUCGUUUGAGACUAAAAGACAAAACUUGUCACACUUCCGUGUUCUAAUGUCGAAAGUGAAAGUAGAAAUCCGGGAUACGUGGAAGAAACUUGUUGCAAAGGUUCAUCUUCUCUCAGACAGAAUGGAGAGUGACAGAACAUCUGACUCAGCUCCUGCUCUACAUGAGUCUCAGGACUUGACCAGGGGAUGGUUCAGGGUCCGGACCAAGACUUGGACCAGCAGCAGACCAAAAGACCAGUCUCCACUCUCCUCUGAGGAGUCUGAGUCUGAACAGAGGUAAGAGACGGAGCUCUAAAACUCACUGUCAAAAGACACACACAUCAGUUCAAUUAAUAUGAUCAGAAAAAAAAAAAGUGUUUUUAAAGUGUGAUGUUUUGUUUUAUAUAUUAUUUACACACAAUACUGUGAUCCCAAAAUACAUACAUUACAUUUGUUACAUGGAAAAAUAGUGUUUAAAAAGAUAUUGUGCUUGUGUCUGUUAUAUAUUUAUAUUUUUAAGGGGCUCUUCUUACCUCUGCUCACAGAAAACACAGAGGACGAGCUCUGGGCUUUCUGCAUCCACUGAAGCAAAAAUAAACAUUUACAUGAGUUUACUGAAAAACACUUAAGUAAAAGUGUGGAGUGGAGAACACUGCAGUAGAGCUCAUCCUUCACCUGCUGUAGUCUUGGUAUCUUCAUUAGAAAUACUUUAACCAUGUGAUUUGUUUCUUUUAGUUGAAAUAUUUUUGACUUUUGGAUGGCCUGGGAAUUUUCUCAUGACAGAUCCACUGUAUCUUUCUGAGACUGACUCACUGUGAUUAGCAAAUACAUUUAAAACGAGCGUAAAAGGAUAACACAUGUGACAUUCUGCUGUUCACCAGGUUAACUUGAGGUGUGCACUAAAGUUUAGCCACAUUUGGCUUAAUGUACAGAAACUUUCUGAUGUGUACAGAAUAAAAUCAACACCUCAGUUCAAAUAAAUGUAAUUUUUUUACCUGAUAUGUAGCGUGCUCUGCAAACACCAGCACUGCUUUGUCUUUGCCCUCUGUUCAUCGUGUUCAUCAUUACCACUGGUAAUUGUGCAGGAAAAGUUUCAGAUUUGCGGAAUUUCAAAUAUGGAACUCUGCUCCAAAUUCACCCGUCUUCACCUUAUUCCAGAAGUUUCUGUGAGCACAAACCAUCAUCGUGUGGGUUGUAUUAUUUUGUGUGGGGCUGCUGAUCCUAACAGUGAAUAAGCCUCCAGAGAAUCAGUGACUUGUUGGUGCACAUGAAACUGAACAUUUUAAACAAAAGAACCGACUUACUCAUACUGAAGAUGCAAAACGUUUCCCAAAUUCUCCAUUGACAGAAGUGCCACCACAAAAAAUUUCCAAUAUAAUUUGGUUUCUUUUCCUGUUUCAGACAUGACCUGGCCCAGGGGACGGCGCAGAAGACGGCGCUCAAAGGAACUCCCGCCUUUCAUGGAAAAGUCUGUCCUCUUCUAAACUGCUACGCUGGUCCAGAGUUUGGAGUCUUGGUGACCCUAGGCGACGGCCUAGUGGACCUUCAGUCCCAGGCGACGGCCUAGUGGACCUUCAGUCCCAGGCGACGGCCUAGUGGACGCUCAGUCCCAGGCGACGGCCUAGUGGACGCUCAGUCCCAGGCGACGGCCUAGUGGACGCUCAGUCCCAGGCGACGGCCUAGUGGACGCUCAGUCCCAGGCGACGGCCUAGUGGACCUCAGUCCCA